AGGCCUACGGGGGGCGGCAGUGAGGAAUAUUGGUCAAUGGGCGGAAGCCUGAACCAGCCAAGUCGCGUGAGGGAAGAAGGCCCUGCGGGUCGCAGACCUCUUUGGACGGGGAGCAAGGCCGCCGACGUGUCGGCGGAAGGAGAGUACCCGUAGAACAAGCAUCGGCUAACUCCGUGCCAGCAGCCGCGGUAAUACGGAGGAUGCGAGCGUUAUCCGGAUUUACUGGGUGUAAAGGGAGCGUAGACGGCAGCGCAAGUCUGGAGUGAAAUGCCGGGGCUCAACCCCGGAACUGCUUUGGAAACUGG
rnacentral:rRNA from 1 species